CACCGCGGUUAUACGAGAGGCCCAAGUUGACAGACAUCGGCGUAAAGGUGGUUAUUGAACCAGCACACUAAGGUCAAACAUCUUCAAUACUGUUAUACGUACCCGAGGACAGGAAGAACUACCACGAAAGUGGCCUUAAUUUACAUGAAGCCACGAAAGCUAGGAAA
rnacentral:rRNA from 1 species